rnacentral:rRNA from 1 species
ACGCCUUAACAUGCAAGUCGAACGAAGUAGCAAUACUUAGUGGCAGACGGGUGAGUAACAUGUAGGUAUCUUCCCUUUGGUGAGGAAUAACACGAGGAAACUUGUGCUAAUACCUCAUAAGUCUUUACGGAGAAAGCUUUAUGCGCCGAAGGAUGAGCCUGCACUUGAUUAGUUUGUUGGUGGGGUAAUGGCCUACCAAGACUUUGAUCUAUAGCUGAUUUGAGAGGAUGAUCAGCCACAUUGGGACUGAGACACGGCCCAAACUCCUACGGGAGGCAGCAGUGGGGAAUCUUGCACAAUGGAGGAAACUCUGAUGCAGCGAUGCCGCGUGAGUGAAGAAGGCCUUUGGGUUGUAAAGCUCUUUCGUCGGGGAAGAAAAUGACUGUACCCGAAUAAGAAGGUCCGGCUAACU